GUACUGCGAGUGAAGCGGGAAAAGCUCAAAUUUAAAAUCUGGUGGUCUCUGGCCAUCCGAGUUGUAAUCUAGAGAAGUGUUACCCGCGUCGGACCGUGUAUAAGUCUCCUGGAAUGGAGCGUCAUAGAGGGUGAGAAUCCCGUCUUUGACACGGACUACCGAGGCUUUGUGGUAUGCUCUCAAAGAGUCGAGUUGUUUGGGAAUGCAGCUCAAAAUGGGUGGUAAAUUCCAUCUAAAGCUAAAUAUUGGCGAGAGACCGAUAGCGAACAAGUACCGUGAGGGAAAGAUGAAAAGAACUUUGGAAAGAGAGUUAAACAGUACGUGAAAUUGCUGAAAGGGAAACGCUUGAAGUCAGUCGCGUUGGCCGGGAAUCAGCCUUGCUUUUGCUUGGUGUACUUUCUGGUUGACGGGCCAGCAUCAGUUUUGACNGGUGGAAAAAGUUCAGGGGAAUGUGGCAUCUUCGGGUGUGUUAUAGCCCUUGUUCGUAUACAUCGGUUGGGACUGAGGAACUCAGCACGCCGCAAGGCCGGGUCUUUGACCACGUUCGUGCUUAGGAUGCUGGCAUAAUGGCUUUAAUCGACCCGUCUUGAAACACGGACCAAGGAGUCUAACAUGCCUGCGAGUGUUUGGGUGGAAAACCCGAGCGCGUAAUGAAAGUGAAAGUUGAGAUCCUUGUCAUGGGGAGCAUCGACGCCCGGACCUGACGUUUUCUGACGGCCCUGCGGUAGAGCAUGUAUGUUGGGACCCGAAAGAUGGUGAACUAUGCCUGAAUAGGGUGAAGCCAGAGGAAACUCUGGUGGAGGCUCGUAGCGAUUCUGACGUGCAAAUCGAUCGUCAAAUUUGGGUAUAGGGGCGAAAGCCUAAUCGUACC
rnacentral:rRNA from 2 species